rnacentral:rRNA from 1 species
GAUGAACGCUGGCGGCGUGCCUAAUACAUGCAAGUCGAGCGAACAGAUGAGGAGCUUGCUCCUCUGACGUUAGCGGCGGACGGGUGAGUAACACGUGGAUAACCUACCUAUAAGACUGGGAUAACUUCGGGAAACCGGAGCUAAUACCGGAUAAUAUAUUGAACCGCAUGGUUCAUUAGUGAAAGACGGUUUUGCUGUAACUUAAAGAUGGAUCCGCGCCGCAUUAGCUAGUUGGUAAGGUAACGGCUUACCAAGGCAACGAUGCGUAGCCGACCUGAGAGGGUGAUCGGCCACACUGGAACUGAGACACGGUCCAGACUCCUACGGGAGGCAGCAGUAGGGAAUCUUCCGCAAUGGGCGAAAGCCUGACGGAGCAACGCCGCGUGAGUGAUGAAGGUCUUCGGAUCGUAAAACUCUGUUAUUAGGGAAGAACAAAUGUGUAAGUAACUAUGCACGUCUUGACGGUACCUAAUCAGAAAGCCACGGCUAACUACGUG